UUUCCAUCCACCCAAUGUCCCAGUGCCCUCUGUCAUCCUGCUGCCACUGACCACACACCACAACACCAUCUUAACUGUCAGUCUGAGGUGGACCCAUCAGUACUGGACCACACAGAGACAUGUUCUACUUCCUGCCAGUCCCAGUCUUUCUUCAAAGCAGACGAUGAGAGAACUCCUGCCAACCUUUGCCUCACCUUCUCUGUGACUCUCAGACACUGGAUCAGCUGACUACAGCCAAGACAUCAUCCUGCCACAGACCAGUCAUCACAGCACCAUCCUGACUGUUGAUCAACAGCAGAGUCAUCAGUGCUGGACCACACAGAGACCCUGUUCCUCCUCAGUGCUCAGGCUUCCUCACAACAGAGCAGAAGGUCUUCCUUCACUGUGAUUCUCCACUUCACAGUAGAGACCACUGCACAGCUCCACAAGCUAGUGAACUAUGUGAGAUGGCACUGUGUGCUUCCUCUCUGCAACAUCAAGCUCCUCCUCCAACACGUGUUAAAGGUCUCUGCACCUCUGUGUCCUCCAUGUUCACUGACACUGACCAGAUGACUGAAAGCAGAAGCUCUACAGCCACUGGAAAGGUCAAAGGUCAGUCCAUCUUCAUGCUGACACUGUGCUCUGUUGACAGUUUUGGUUUGUGCCAACAACUGACUGAAGAGCAUCAUGACAGAACAAACUGUGAACCCUGGACAGAAUGACU